UCUGACUCCUCGUUUCCUCCCCUCUUCCACCGCCCUCCUACCUUGAUUUCUCCAGCGCCUUCAAUGGUGUCUCAUCCCACCGUUGUCAUUCCUUCCUUUAUAUCUCUGAUGCUUUCUCAUGCCGGGAAUACGGAUUAUCAAGGACUGAAAGGCUCUGCUAUUCCUUUGUGAGUAACUCCUUGAUAAUACGGGAUUCCCUGACGUGGGUGGAGGUAUCACCGGGUUUUCCUGACCAUCGGAGCCCUGUUUGGUGGUUACCUGAGAAGAUCUGAGCUGCCGGAGUUCUGACCUUGGCUCCUGCUGUUGGUGGCUCUGUUGAGAUCUGUGAAGCUGCUCCAUCGUCCUUACUUCGCCGUUGAUCAUUCAGCUGCCGGAAGGGUUGCUGAGUUUAAAGGGGGAAAAUCUGAGCCCCUGUGUCCCGAGGACACCUUUUCCCUCGACUGAAACCCUUCUCUGAUUUCUUAUCUCUUUUCUCUUUCAUUUGUUCCUUUUACUCCUUUUUCUCUUUAUUUGUGCAGAUCUGAAGUACAGGUAAUCGGAGGCAGAGUUGGAGCUGGAGAUUGCAUAUCUGGAACGGAAGAGUGAAGACCUAAAGAAGAAGAAGAAGAAGAAGUGCCUGAGCACGAAGUGAGACGGACCGGAGGUUCGGGAAACAAGAGGAGUAAUCCCGGCAAGGCGAAGAUACCCAACA
rnacentral:lncRNA from 1 species